rnacentral:miRNA from 1 species
UAUUGCAAAAACGUGUAGUAAUACAACAUGAUCUAGUCGACGUUUCAGUCCACGAAGGACUUUUAUCAAGACCUCUUGAUAAAAGUCCUUCGUGGACUGAAACGUCGACUAGAUCAUGUUGUAUUACUACACAUUUUUGCAAU